CACCAAUAGUCACUGAUGAUGGAAAACACGGGGUUCCAUAGAUGUUGCUGCUUCAGAUUUAUAAGGACACACAAAACUCUUGUAUCAUAGGAGCAAACCCACCAGCUACCAGUGACUGCAUGGGGCCUUUCCCCCAGCUCUUCUCUCUCAACGGUAAUUCCCUUUGUGUAACUUUCAGUUUUCUGCAGUGCCAGCAGUCGUGACUGGUUGUGGCAUCUCUAACAAAGCACAUUGGAUGUUGUUUUAAAGUCCCAUGGUCAGAGCUAAAAAUAGGACGAUGCUAUAUCAUCUGAUAUUUUCAGAUGAUCAGCUACACCACUCCCCUCCUUUCUGAAACCAACAGAGAAUAUCACACUGGCCCAUUACAUUGAUGACAUGCUAAUUGGAUCCAGUGGGUGAGAGGUAGCAAACACAUUGGACUUAUUGCCACCCUGAAUGAAUCUCAACAGUUGAUUAUAUCAGACCUCUUCCAUCAUGGAAAGGUCAAUGGCUUGUUCUCACCAGAAUUGAUACUUACUCCAGAUAUGGGUGUGCCUAUCCCAUGCACAAUGCUUCUGCCAAGGCUACCAUCUAUGGACUCACAGAAUGCCUUAUCUACCAUCACAGUAUUCCACACACAU